rnacentral:rRNA from 1 species
CCUACGGGAGGCAGCAGUGGGGAAUUUUGGACAAUGGACGCAAGUCUGAUCCAGCCAUUCCGCGUGCAGGACGAAGGCCUUCGGGUUGUAAACUGCUUUUGUACGGAACGAAAAAGCUCUUAUUAAUACUAGGAGUCCAUGACGGUACCGUAAGAAUAAGCACCGGCUAACUACGUGCCAGCAGCCGCGGUAAUACGUAGGGUGCAAGCGUUAAUCGGAAUUACUGGGCGUAAAGCGUGCGCAGGCGGUUAUAUAAGACAGAUGUGAAAUCCCCGAGCUUAACUUGGGAACUGCAUUUGUGACUGUAUAGCUAGAGUACGGCAGAGGGGGAUGGAAUUCCGCGUGUAGCAGUGAAAUGCGUAGAUAUGCGGAGGAACACCGAUGGCGAAGGCAAUCCCCUGGGCCUGUACUGACGCUCAUGCACGAAAGCGUGGGGAGCAAACAGGAUUAGAUACCCUGGUAGUCCACGCCCUAAACGAUGUCAACUGGUUGUUGGGUCUUCACUGACUCAGUAACGAAGCUAACGCGUGAAGUUGACCGCCUGGGGAGUAACGGCCGCAAGGUUGAAACUUCAAAGGAAUUGACGG